AUUGAACGCUGGCGGCAGGCCUAACACAUGCAAGUCGAACGAGUGGCGGACGGGUGAGUAAGGUCUGGGAAACUGCCCGAGGGGGGGGGAUAACUACUGGAAACGGUAGAUAAAACCGCAUACCAUCAGCUGGGCCAAGAUGGGAUAACCUAGUAGGUGGGGUAACGGCUCACCUAGGCGACGAGCCCUAGCUGGUCUGAGAGGAUGACCAGCCACACUGGAACUGAGACACGGUCCAGACUCCUACGGGAGGCAGCAGUGGGGAAUAUUGCACAAUGGGCGCAAGCCUGAUGCAGCCAUGCCGCGUGUAUGAAGAAGGCCUUCGGGUUGUAAAGUACUUUCAGCGAGGAGGCGUUACUCGCAGAAGAAGCACCGGCUAACUCCGUGCCAGCAGCCGCGGUAAUAC
rnacentral:rRNA from 1 species